CCUGUCAGAGCAGACAGACAUUAACAUUAGGAUAAAACACCCUGGGCAAAUUCCAGCAGUGACGAAAGCAUGUGGGGAAAAUGAAGAGAGAGAGAGAGAGAGAGAGAAGAAAAAAAAAAAAAAAAAAAAAAAAAAAAAAAAAAAAAAAAAAAAAUGCACACAUCUUGUGAGUCAUACAUUUUCAAGACUAGACGACUCCCUGCUGACUGUUUGCUCUAGAAUAUUCACCACAUUCUUUCCUAUGUUCGUUUCAGAUGAGUGCAACAGCUUAAAAGUGUCACGUAACUGUCUUCUAAACGAAUACAUUGCUUCACACACACUGGGUGUACGUACGUGGCGAGUAGGACCGUGAGCGGGACCGGGAUCUGUAUCCUCCACGGCCGUAGUAGGGCGAAGGAGACCUGCGCCUACGUGAACACAGAGUUUAAAGAGAGAGAGAUACAGGAGGUCCGUACCCGGUUGCCGACAUGCCGUCUGCGAUUGGACAUGGGUGAGUGGCUGCGGCUGCGUCGGUACUCGCGACUGUACGAGCGGCUGCGCGAGUGGCGUCGGCGAGAGCGUGAGCGUGAGUGACGACGGCGAGAGCUCCUGUGGGAACGGGACCUGUGUGAGAGAGAAACAGUUUUUGUUUUUAAAAAACCCCACUCAUUCAUCGUCUGAAAAAUACACAUCUCUAUUUUUCACAAAACAGCAAACAUUAAUCUGAAGAAUUGCAAAGUUUCCCCGGGUCUUUACACUUUCGUUACGAACGCAACGAACAUCUCAGUUAACUUGUCUACACAAAUGAGAACACAAAACACUUAGUUUUAUUUAUUGAUUUUUUAAAAAAGAGAAACUUAAGUAUAGCCUACACGAGAUGAUGAAAGAUAUUAACUUGGCAAUGUUCGGCAACGUGCUUUGUCCGUCAACGCAAACGCAAAAUACCUUUGUCUCCUCCUCCCCUCCCAUUAAGAGACAUGCGAGGUAUAAAGAAAGAUCAUUACCUGGAUCUGGACUUCGACCUGGACCUGGAGCGAGACUUGGAUCUGGAGCGGGAGCGGUGGGAGCCAUCCUUAGAUCUUCCUGGCGAGUUGCUGGUCGACUUCACAGAGCCUCUGGGACUCACACUCCGAGAGCGGGACUCCUGCACAAUCCAAACCAAAUGAACACAACAGAACCAGAGCGAGAACCUCCCAUGCAUCAAGUCAUGACCCCAAACCUCUUAUUGACUAAUCAUGUUGACAAACAGACUUGUUAAAGCUGGAGUCGGUUUAAAUUCCAUUGCAUCAUGAAGGAGUUUUUUUUAUUUUAUUUCUUUUCUUUUUUUAAAUAAACAAAACACUGACUAACAUUA